AUUUUUAGUUUUUUUUUUCAGGUAGACACAAUAUCUUAAUUCUUUAUUUAUUUUUAUGUGGUGCUGAGAAUCGAACCCAGUGCCUCACACAUGCUAGGGGAGCUUGCUACCAUUGAGCCACAUCCCCAGCCCCAUGAAUGAGUAUUUCCAAGACUCCACCCUAAGCUCCAUCUUGGGCAUAGGAUGAAGCAGUGGGGGUCUGAGAUAUGACAUUUCCUGCUCUCAGGAGCUGUUAGAGUGUAAAAAGACACAAAUAAUCACAUCAACCAAAGGGUGUUGAUUUCAGCUGCUAAAGAGUGCUCUGCAGAAAAUAAGUCAGAAGAAGGGGUGGGAGUGACUCCUAAUUAGGCAGGCUGAGGGGGACUUCUCUUAGGAGGUGGCUGUGUUGAGACCUGACUGAUGGGGAGUCAGCUUUGCAAAGUUCUGAUGUAAGAGCACUCCAAAGGAAAUAGCAAGUGCCAAGGCCCUGAGGCAGAAGCAGUCUGGCAUGUGCAGCUUGAACAAGAGGAAGGGAUUUUAUUGCUUUCUGGGCUGGAACUCAGUCAUAAUCAGGUUUUGUGGGCUUGUCUUCAAAUAUUACUUAUGGGGUGCUGUAGGGUUAUAAGAGCAGAGUGAUGUAAGCUGACUUUACACACAGGGUAGUCUAUAGUAGAGGCUGGAGGGGGGAGUGGUAGCAAGGGGAGCAGUUAGGAGACUCAAGAACUUAAGAGUCAUGCAGGCAGUUGUGCAAGAGGCCAGAGACUGUAAGAGUCAUGUUGACCCAUUUUGAGAUUCAUUGUCCAGGUGACUAUACCACAUGCCUGGGGUUUGGGCUGUAGAUGAACAUUUGGAAGCCAACAGUGAUGCUAUGUAGAGUCUUAGGAAUCUAUGGCAUCUGAGAAAUGUGGAGAGAACAGGAAACCCAAAGGGUAAUUGAGGCCACUAUUUAUAGUGGGAGAACAUGUGGCCCUUAUUUGGGAUUAGGGGAGCCACUAUGGGAGUAAUGUGAAAAUAUCUGAACUGGAAACACCUAGGCUUUCACCGUUGCCAAAUGGAAUAUUUGGCUUUGGUCAAGUUGAUAUCUUGGGAGAAAAGAAGUGUGAUAGUCAACUAACUAUAAACCUGUUUCCCCAUAAGUCACCUCAGCAAAGAGUUCCAGGAUAGACCUGUCCCAAAUCCUAUGCACAUGCGCGUGCACACACACACACCAGGUAGGACUAGUAUUUCCCAGGAUGGGAAUCUGUGAUUCCAGACUCAGAGUAGGUUUGAAGAGAGGGAGUCCAACAGGAGUCUUCAGUUAAAUAAGGGGUUCACAAACUUUUAUGCUAAAGGGACAAAUGGAUUUGUGGACCAUGAGGCUCUGCUGCAACUACUCAAAUCUGC
rnacentral:lncRNA from 1 species